rnacentral:rRNA from 1 species
UACGUAGGGUGCAAGCGUUGUCCGGAAUUAUUGGGCGUAAAGAGCUCGUAGGCGGUCUGUCGCGUCGGGUGUGAAAGCCCCGGGCUCAACCUGGGAAUUGCAUUCGAUACUGGAUAACUAGAGUUCGGCAGAGGGAAGCGGAAUUUCCGGUGUAGCGGUGAAAUGCGUAGAUAUCGGAAGGAACAUCAGUGGCGAAAGCGGCUUCCUGGACCAGAACUGACGAUCAGGCUCGAAAGCGUGGGGAGCAAACAGGG